GGCGAACGCUGGCGGCGUGCUUAACACAUGCAAGUCGAACGGAAAGGCCCUGCUUUUGUGGGGUGCUCGAGUGGCGAACGGGUGAGUAACACGUGAGUAACCUGCCCUUGACUUUGGGAUAACUUCAGGAAACUGGGGCUAAUACCGGAUAGGAGCUCCUGCUGCAUGGUGGGGGUUGGAAAGUUUCGGCGGUUGGGGAUGGACCCGCGGCUUAUCAGCUUGUUGGUGGGGUAGUGGCUUACCAAGGCUUUGACGGGUAGCCGGCCUGAGAGGGUGACCGGCCACAUUGGGACUGAGAUACGGCCCAGACUCCUACGGGAGGCAGCAGUGGGGAAUAUUGCACAAUGGGCGGAAGCCUGAUGCAGCAACGCCGCGUGCGGGAUGACGGCCUUCGGGUUGUAAACCGCUUUCGCCUGUGACGAAGCGUGAGUGACGGUAAUGGGUAAAGAAGCACCGGCUAACUACGUG
rnacentral:rRNA from 1 species